UUUAAGUAGAGUAUAAAUACAUUUGUAAGUGUAUUAUCAAGACAAAAGUGAAGUUGCAAAUAAGAAGACACUGACCAAGCUACGCAAAUGCUAACGAGGGGAUAUUAAAUGACAAGGUAUAGUUGAAUAUUAUUAAACGUCAUAGCUUAAUAACGGAAAAUACCCUCCUAUUAAUCAUUCAAUUUAAAUGAUCUGAUCAGAUGCAGUUAACUGUAUAGUGUAAUAUAUAAAUAGAUAUGCAAUAUAUAAAAAAUAUGCAAUAUAUAAAAAAAAUAUGCAAUAUAUAAAAAAAUAUGCAAUAUAUAAAAACAUAUGCAGAUGCAAAGAUUGUUGUUUAAACAUUCAAAACCACGUAAACUUCCGGUACCAAUAGUGGAAACGUUAUCGAAUCUACCAGACAAUACUCGACAAAUUUCUCUUCUCUCCUUGUUGUAGUCAGUUGGAAAUUCUGAGUCUUCUUCAAUCAAUUCUGAUUCAUACUCGACGUUUGAUACAUCAAAUACCAUCAGUCCAUUAUAUUUCAGUACAGUGAGAAAUCUAGAAAUUAUCAAGAUAUUCAAGGCAAAACUGACCUUAGACCAAUAAACUCUUUUUUUUUUGUAUGUCAUUUUUGAUGUUUUGGCUAAUCACCAUUCAGGUCAAUAAAUAUACUAAAUGUGUAUCAAGAAAAGCGCUUCUACUCAUUUUACUUUUCUACCACCAGGUAUAUGUUGCGCCCAGUUCCCUACCCCUCACUAUAAGGUUAUGAAUAGCUCACUGGUUCUAGCUUCGGUACAAUCAUAAUGUAUAACAUUUUUUUUCUGAAUGAUCUUUUUUUUUUCUUUAAAAAAAUAGGUUCUGCCCAAUCUGUAAGAAAAGGUUACCUUUAAUAAACAAAGCUUUCCUUUUAAUGCCCCUGUUUCGGUAUAUGUUUCCUCAUGUACAUGUAUACAUAUAUUAUUCUCAUUUGUUUCGGAUUUAAGCGUUUCUGAUGGAAGUACAUUCAGAAAGCGCUUCAGAUGCCCCAAAUUUAAAUUUAAAGUGUUUAUUUCAAUUUUUUAGUACUAGUAUAAUGUAAACGAGUGAGGUAUAUUCUCUUCAAUAUAUGAAAAUAGAAGCAUAAUUUGUUGAAAAAAAAGGAAAGUGAAAAAAAUAAUGAACUUCGAGGAAAAUGCAAAAACGGAAAGUCCUUAAUCAAAUGGCAAAUUCAAAACCUCAAACACGUCAAACUAAUGGACAUCAACUCAUUACAUGUUACAAAUAUUCUUAUUUUCUAUUUCAUUCUUCACGACAGGUGUCACAUGUGAUGUAGGAUCUGUUUAUACUUCCCAAAGCAGUUUAGACCACCCCCAUAGGAUCUGUUUAUACUUCCCAAAGCACUUUAGACCACCCCCAGUUUUGUUGAUUUUGUGUUGCUCAGCCUGUGAUUUUCUAUGUUGUGUUGUUGUACUAUUGUUUGCCUGUUGUAUUUUUCUUUUUAAACCAUGGUGUUGUAAGUUUAUUUUCGACUUAUUUGUUUGAAUGUCACUAUGGUAUAUUUCGUCCCUCUUUGAUAUAAAUAUGCAAAAUAACUAUUUCUGAAAAACGAUCCUUCAUUAUACACAUAUAUAUUGUUUGUGUGUACAAAUAAAGGUCUUUUUUUUAAAUCACACAAAGGAAAUAUAAACUGUUAGUAGUUAGUUUUAUUGUAUGUUUACUUUUAAAAUUAAUGAUAAAUGUAUAUGAGUUGUAUCGAAUUAACAGAUCUACAGACGAAAAUAAUAAAACAAUUGCUAUCUCAUGUUUAAAAGUAUUGAGGUUAAUUGACUCGAUAAUGCAUUGUAAUGGUUUUAUCGCAAUUUGUUGAAUAAAUGAGUGCGUUUUUUCACCUAGGUGUCGUUGAAUUGAUAUGCAUCGCCUUUUGGUAAACUCUCUAAGCUGUUAAUGAUCACCAAACUGUACUUUAUCCACAAGUAUUCAGUACUUUAUUUGACCUUCAAACUAGGUCCUGAAUGAAUUGAUUUUAUCAACGUAAGAAAAUAUAUUAAAGGACAGAUUAGCAAUUUUUGACAUUUAAAACAGGUUUUGAAAUACAGAAAAUGGUUACAAUAUAUAGACAUGAUUACUUCAAAAGUUUAAAAAUACCUUUACAGCUUAUGAGUUUAAAACUUUUGAAUUUUAUUUAACACAUGUCUUUUACAUGUGAACAGAGCACAGCAUGUUCAGACUUUAUAUGCUGCUACAUAUAUCAAUCUCAUUGAACACAACGAUAACAGUGACUACAUGAAGUAAAAUUCUAACCAAAUUGUUCCAAAUCGAACAAUUGUCUAGACAUAUCGUAAACAAAUCAUAAAAUGUCAUAAAACAUACCUAAAUAAAAUUCAACUUUUUUUUUUCUUCUGAUGCAUUGAGCGGCAAAUGUACAUAAACUACUACAAUUUGUAAUCAUUUAAAGAACAUUUAUUGAUCAUUUAGGAUAAAACGGCUAAUAUACACUACACAUUGAGUUGAAUUUUACACUACGCAUUGAGUUGAAUUUUACACUACACAUUGAGUUGAAUUUUACACUACACAUUGAGUUGAAUUUUACUCUACACAUUGAGUUGAGUUUUACGGAUAUUUGAUCUUCGAUAUUGGUCGUAUUGGUGUCAGAAAUAUAACAAAACUGAACACUACAUUCGUUGAUAGAACAACUUUCCUUCUAUAUGUUCAAGACUGAAUUUUCAUGUUAGCUGAGUUUUUUUAUGAAUCUUGUCGAACAAUAUAACAGUUUAUUCGUACAUUUUGCUGUAAUAAAACUGUUUCGUGUAAGUAGAGGUGUAAGCACUCGGAAAUUUGUUUAAACCCGCAAAAUGUACAUGUCCAAUGUACGUAGCUUGGAAUUUGUCGUUGGUCGUUACUUGCUGCUUCAUGUUUGUUUUCCAAUUAUUGUUAAGAGUUUAAGUGAUAAAAGAGAGGGGUAAUAUACUUAAGGGAUUUCGAAUUCGAAAAACAAAAUGACAAUUCCUUGGCACAAAUUGAAAAUGAUCAAAUGAAAAGUAUACAAUACACAACAUUGAUACAUGAUGUUUCAGGUUCUCGUGGUGGCUAAGGUUAUCAUGCAGCAUAUGAUGCACCCGUAGUGUUGUUUAUGUUAGGAACACCUAAUGAAAGGUCAAAUUCGGUAGCUCACACUCGAUGAAAAGAUAACGAGAUUAUUAAUUGCUAAGACAAAUCGGAACAUAUUCGUAAUCAUCUUUGGCACAAGUAUUACAAAAAGAUCAUCAAACUCCGUCCGUAAAACGCAUUCAAAAGUUGAAGGAACGGCAAAAAGUAUAUCCAUUUCAUACCCAUGUACUACAUUAUCUUCCCUGAAGUCUUCAAAAUAAAGUACUAGUAAGAAUAUUUUCAUCCGUUUUGAUAUCAUGAUUUCAAAGACGGGUACGUACUAUUGUUUAUUUCGUUUACUAUAUUUUUCAGGUAACAGCUUAUAAGAUUUUCUAACAGGAACACAAGGAUGAAAAACAGUAGAGUAAGUGUGUCAAUAAAAUAGAGAAUGGAAAUAAGGAAUGUGUCAAAGACACAACAACCCGACCAUAGAGCAGAAAACAGCCGAAGGUGUCAAUAAUAAUGCAAUCACCUCCCUGUUAUAGGAUAAAAAUCUUCAUGUUUUAAUUCUACAUUUUGGCUGUGAUCUAAUAAUUGUUGAUUGUCGGAAUAAUUGCAGAACGAUUUGUUUAGAAUAUUACCAAUUUCCCACAUGAUAUUACGUAAUGUGUUAUGUCAUUUUCAUUUGGGAUGGUGUGUCAAACCGCUAUAUAUGUACUGAAUUGUUUCCGAUAAAGGGUGAGGCUCAUGUUUUUUGAUAUUUUUGUCUAAGGGUCUACAUUGUUUGUACGUGUCAAAGUCAUAACUUUCCGAAAACUAAACAAACCGAAUCAAUUUUAGUCAAAGUGUUUGGUACCACCGUAAUGCAGGAUUCUUAGUUUAAGCGAUUAGUGAAUUUUAAAAAAUUUUAAAAUUAAUUGGUGACAUUUUUUUAUUAUCCUAACCAUUUGAUUAUUUAUAAACAUAUCUUUUAUUUUCCAGGUUCAGAUAUUACCGACAAAUGUAGUAAUCCAAACAAAAAAUCAAACGCAUUCACAUUAUAAAAUCGCACCAAUAGAUUGGAC
rnacentral:lncRNA from 1 species